ACGUAGGGGGCAAGCGUUAUCCGGAUUUACUGGGUGUAAAGGGAGCGUAGACGGCAUGGCAAGCCAGAUGUGAAAGCCCGGGGCUCAACCCUGGGACUGCAUUUGGAACUGUCAGGCUAGAGUGUCGGAGAGGAAAGCGGAAUUCCUAGUGUAGCGGUGAAAUGCGUAGAUAUUAGGAGGAACACCAGUGGCGAAGGCGGCUUUCUGGACGAUGACUGACGUUGAGGCUCGAAAGCGUGGGGAGCAAACAG
rnacentral:rRNA from 1 species